UGUUCGGCCUCACCAAGGAAAAGAGGAAAGAAAGAAAGAACAAAACCCUAGUUAGAAAAUUCAAGGGAAAAUUGUGGAAUUUCAAGGAAUCAAGUGACAAAAGGUGGUGAAACUUUCGAUAAGGGUAAGGAGAUUGUACUCGAAGACCAAGACUAGGAGUACUUCGACUCUUGAUAUUGGGAGGUGAGAAAACUGAUAUUAAAGCUUUGCGGGGUUUCGG
rnacentral:sRNA from 10 species